AGCGAACGCUGGCGGCAGGCUUAACACAUGCAAGUCGAACGGGCACUUCGGUGCUAGUGGCCGACGGGUGAGUAACACGUGGGAACGUACCUUUCGGUUCGGAAUAAUCCAGGGAAACUUGGACUAAUACCGGAUACGCCCUUCGGGGGAAAGAUUCAUCGCCGAUAGAUCGGCCCGCGUCUGAUUAGCUAGUUGGUGAGGUAAUGGCUCACCAAGGCGACGAUCAGUAGCUGGUCUGAGAGGAUGAUCAGCCACAUUGGGACUGAGACACGGCCCAAACUCCUACGGGAGGCAGCAGUGGGGAAUAUUGGACAAUGGGCGCAAGCCUGAUCCAGCCAUGCCGCGUGAGUGAUGAAGGCCUUAGGGUUGUAAAGCUCUUUUGUCCGGGAAGAUAAUGACUGUACCGGAAGAAUAAGCCCCGGCUAACUUCGUG
rnacentral:rRNA from 1 species